rnacentral:rRNA from 1 species
UGGGGAAUAUUGCACAAUGGGCGCAAGCCUGAUGCAGCCAUGCCGCGUGUGUGAAGAAGGCCUUCGGGUUGUAAAGCACUUUCAGCGGGGAGGAAGGCGUUAAGGUUAAUAACCUUGGCGAUUGACGUUACCCGCAGAAGAAGCACCGGCUAACUCCGUGCCAGCAGCCGCGGUAAUACGGAGGGUGCAAGCGUUAAUCGGAAUUACUGGGCGUAAAGCGCACGCAGGCGGUCUGUCAAGUCGGAUGUGAAAUCCCCGGGCUCAACCUGGGAACUGCAUUCGAAACUGGCAGGGUAGAGUCUUGUAGAGGGGGGUAGAAUUCCAGGUGUAGCGGUGAAAUGCGUAGAGAUCUGGAGGAAUACCGGUGGCGAAGGCGGCCCCCUGGACAAAGACUGACGCUCAGGUGCGAAAGCGUGGGGAGCAAACAGG